UAUCAGUCAUGCAUAGCAUAUCAAUAAGCGGAGGAAAAGAAACUAACUAGGAUUCCCUCAGUAACGGCGAGUGAAGCGGGAAGAGCUCAAAUUUGAAAUCUUCAAGGUUCUACCUUGACGAAUUGUAGUUUAAAGAAGUGUUUUCUGUUGGAGUUUUGGUAAAAGUUCUUUGGAAUAGGACAUCAUAGAGGGUGAGAAUCCCGUAUUUGACCAUUAUUCCAACUUUGUGAUACACUUUCAAAGAGUCGGAUUGUUUGGGAAUGCAGUCCAAAAUGGGUGGUAAAUUUCAUCUAAAGCUAAAUACUGGCGAGAGACCGAUAGCGAACAAGUACCGUGAGGGAAAGAUGAAAAGAACUUUGAAAAGAGAGUUAAACAGUACGUGAAAUUGUCAAAAGGGAAGCGUUUGACACCAGUGUUGUUUUUCCGAAAAUCAAUUACGAAUGUUUUAUUUUUGAGGAGUUAUGACUUCAUCGGCUUGCUCCUUUCUUUAUGAAACUUUCUUAAUGCACUUUUCGGUUAACAAGUCAACAUCAAUUUCUUUUGUUGUAAAAGGGUACUGAGGAAGGUGGCUUUCUUUUCGGAGAAAGUGUUUAUAGCCUUGUAGCCUCUGCAAUCGGAGAGAUUGAGGUCUGCAGCGUAGAUCCUUCGGGGUUAGAUACGUUUGUGCUAAGUUAUAGCUUUUCAUAGACAACUUGUUGACUAUGUUUAGUCUUGUAGCUUACUCGCUGAUGCUAUUUUACCUACGCUUAGGAUGUUGAUCUCUCACAGUCGAGC
rnacentral:rRNA from 1 species